GAUGAACGCUGGCGGCGUGCUUAACACAUGCAAGUCGAACGGGAUCCCAGGGGUGCUUGCACUUUUUGGUGAGAGUGGCGAACGGGUGAGUAACACGUGAGUAACCUGUCCUUUUCUUUGGGAUAAGCAUUCGAAAGGGUGUUUAAUACCUUAUGUUCUGUCUGCCUCGCAUGGGGUGGGUGGGAAAGGCUUUGGCCGGAUUUGGGUGGGCUCGCGGUCUAUCAGCUUGUUGGUGGGGUGAUGGCUUACCAAGGCUUUGACGGGUAGCCGGCCUGAGAGGGUGGUCGGUCACAUUGGGACUGAGAUACGGCCCAGACUCCGGCGGGAGGCAGCAGUGGGGGAUAUUGCACAAUGGGCGAAAGCCUGAUGCAGCGACGCCGCGUGGGGGAGGAAGGCCUUCGGGUUGUAAACUUCUUUUGCUCUGAACAAGGCAUGCCAGUGGGUGUGUUGAGUGUAGGGGUUGAUUAGCGCCGGCUAACUACGUG
rnacentral:rRNA from 1 species